GUUUGCAUGAUUGUAAUUGUAAUUCAUUGUAAGGUCCAGAUAAUAUGUAUAUGUUUGCAUGACUUGUAAUUGUAAUUCAUUGUAAGGUCCAGAUAAUCUGUAUAUGUUUGCAUGACUUGUAAUUGUGUGAUUCAUUGUAAGGUCCAGAUAAUAUGUAUAUGUUUGCAUGACUUGUAAUUGUAAUUCAUUGUAAGGUCCAGAUAAUCU